AGUGAACGCUGGCGGUAGGCCUAACACAUGCAAGUCGAACGGCAGCACAGUAAGAGCUUGCUCUUACGGGUGGCGAGUGGCGGACGGGUGAGGAAUACAUCGGAAUCUACUUUUUCGUGGGGGAUAACGUAGGGAAACUUACGCUAAUUCCGCAUACGACCUACGGGUGAAAGCAGGGGAUCUUCGGACCUUGCGCGAUUGAAUGAGCCGAUGUCGGAUUAGCUAGUUGGCGGGGUAAAGGCCCACCAAGGCGACGAUCCGUAGCUGGUCUGAGAGGAUGAUCAGCCACACUGAAACUGAGACACGGUCCAGACUCCUACGGGAGGCAGCAGUGGGGAAUAUUGGACAAUGGGCGCAAGCCUGAUCCAGCCAUACCGCGUGGGUGAAGAAGGCCUUCGGGUUGUAAAGCCCUUUUGUUGGGAAAGAAAAGCAGCAGGUUAAUACCCCGCUGUUCUGACGGUACCCAAAGAAUAAGCACCGGCUAACUUCGUG
rnacentral:rRNA from 1 species